CCAUUUUAAAAUCAUGACUCUACAUUUGAAAUUUAUGUUUACUUUGUUCUUUGCAGAAUUCAAGAUGGGAUCUCUGCUCUUAGCAUCAAGACCCUUUUUGAUGAAUGCAAAUGGUGGCUGACAGAAUGUGACUCAGAGGAAAGACUGACAGUCUACAUCAGUCUCCUGAUUUACAGCACAUUUAACUCUCCUGAGUCAACACAAAGAAAAAGAAACAGGAUAUUAGUAACGAGAAGAAAAGCCAUGUGAAUCCAUAGGGAGAAGGCAGCUGUCUGCAUACCAGGAGGAGAGCUCCCACCCGAACCCAACCAUAGUGCCACCCUGAUCUUGUACUUCCAGCCUCUCAGCUGUGAGAAAAUAAAUGUCUGUUGUUUAAGACACCCAGUUCAUGGUAUUUUGUUACAGCAGCCCAAGCAAAGUAAGACACCCCAUCCUCUCCUAUAGAGCAGUAACAUCACCAAGGUUGGGCUCUUGCUAGGGGUUUCCAAGAUCCCCUCCUGAGACCUGGCCUGUC
rnacentral:lncRNA from 1 species